rnacentral:tRNA from 1 species
GCCGUCGUAGCUCAGUUGGUGGAGCACUCGGCUGUUAACCGAGCGGUCGCCGGUUCGAGUCCGGCCGACGGCG